AUUGAACGCUGGCGGCAGGCCUACCAAAUGCAAGUGGAGGGGUUGAGGGGGGUUUGCUCUUGAAUUAGGCGGCGAAGGGGUGGGUAUUGCUUGGAAUUUUCCCUGGUGGUGGGGAUUACGGUCGGGAACGGGGGCCUAUUCCGGCUUCGGCCUUGGGGGGGAAGGGGGGGGUUUUUGGAACUUAAGGCUAUAAGUUGAGCCUAGGUCGGAUUAGCUAGUUGGUGGGGUAAAGGCCUACCAGGGCGACGAUCCGUAACUGGUCUGAGAGGAUGAUCAGUCACACUGGAACUGAGACACGGUCCAGACUCCUACGGGAGGCAGCAGUGGGGAAUAUUGGACAAUGGGCGAAAGCCUGAUCCAGCCAUGCCGCGUGUGUGAAGAAGGUCUUCGGAUUGUAAAGCACUUUAAGUUGGGAGGAAGGGCAGUAAGUUAAUACCUUGCUGUUUUGACGUUACCAACAGAAUAAGCACCGGCUAACUUCGUG
rnacentral:rRNA from 1 species